CCUUGCCAGCCCGCUCAGAAACUUAAAUGAAUUGACGGGGGCCCGCACAAGCGGUGGAGCAUGUGGUUUAAUUCGAUGAUACGCGAGGAACCUUACCUGGGCUCAAAUGUAUGUUGACGUAUUCUGAAAGGGAUACUUCUUCGGACAAUAUACAAGGUGCUGCAUGGUUGUCGUCAGCUCGUGCCGUGAGGUGUCGGGUUAAGUCCCAUAACGAGCGCAACCCCUAUCAUUAGUUGCCAUCAGGUCAAGCUGGGGACUCUAAUGAAACUGCCUACGCAAGUAGUGAGGAAGGUGGGGAUGACGUCAAAUCAGCACGGCCCUUACGUCCAGGGCUACACACGUGCUACAAUGGCCGGUACAGAGUGAAGCGAAACCGCGAGGUGAAGCAAAACGCAGAAAGCCGGUCUCAGUACGGAUUGGAGUCUGAAACUCGACUUCAUGAAGUUGGAAUCGCUAGUAAUCGCGCAUCAGCAUGGCGCGGUGAAUACGUUCCCGGGCCUU
rnacentral:rRNA from 1 species